rnacentral:tRNA from 1 species
CGCUGCGAUGCAGAGCUGCUCGGCGGUGCCCUUCUUGCGGGCGUCGUAGAGGGCUUUGCGGACGCCGGCCACGUCCCAGUCGGGGCGCAGUGUC